UCCCUCAUCACUAACAGGCCAACCUAUCACAAUAGGAGAAUUAAUGCUAGAAUGAGUAACCAGGGUGAACCCCUCUACGACGCAAGCUUACAUCUGUACAUUAUUAACAAGUACCCAAUAUACGACAAAUCCAACAAGCAGAGUAUUAAACACCUUGUUAACCCGACAGAGGAGCGUCCGCUAAGAAAGAUUAAAACCUGUAAAAGGAACUCGGCAAACCCAAGGCCCGACUGUUUACCAAAAACAUAGCCUUCAGCAAACCAAAGAACAAGUAUUGAAGGUGAUGCCUGCCCGGUGACAUAGUUCAACGGCCGCGGUAUCCUAACCGUGCAAAGGUAGCGCAAUCAAUUGUCCCAUAAAUCGGGACACGUAUGAAUGGCUAAACGAGGUCUUAACUGUCUCUUACAGGCAAUCGGUGAAAUUGAUCUCCCUGUGCAAAAGCAGGGAUAACCCCAUAAGACGAGAAGACCCUGUGGAACUUCAAAAACAGCAACCACCCCAAUAUACAUCCACACCCAAAGCACUGGUUCGCAUUUUUUCGGUUGGGGCGACCUUGGAGCAAAACAAAACCUCCAAAAAUUGGACCAUUCCUCCAGACUAAGAGCAACCUCUCAACGUGCCAACAGCACCCAGACCCAAUAUAAUUGAUCAAUGGACCAAGCUACCCCAGGGAUAACAGCGCGAUCUCCCCCGAGAGUCCAUAUCGACGGGGAGGUUUACGACCUCGAUGUUGGAUCAGGACAUCCUAG
rnacentral:rRNA from 1 species